AUGCAUGCCUAAGUACAGCUCGAUACUUGUAUCGGGCGAAACCGCAGACGGCUCAUUAAAUCAGUUGUGGUCUAAGUGGGCGACAGUUUUCCCUAGUUGGAUAACUGUGGAAAAUCCAGAGCUAAUACAUGCGACACAAAGUCCUCAGGAGACGCUAGCUUUACCCCUGGUAAACUCCUUUGGAUGCUUUUAUUAGACCGAAGCGCGCGCAUUCGGGACUUAGCACCUCGUUUCGGCGGGGCUGCGGUUCUCCGUGCGACGUAGUAAGCGCUUGAAGGUGACUCUGGAUAACAUUGAUAAGCGUGGCUUAAUUGCUACGCUGCCUACUUACGAGUGACUGACCUAUCAGCUAGGAAGGUAUGUUAUACGCAAACCUUGGCACUGACGGGUAACGGGGAAUCAGAGUUCGAUUCCGGAGAGGCAGCCUGAGAAACGGCUACCACG
rnacentral:rRNA from 1 species